AAUUCUUUCUCCAUUAUCAUGACUCAUUAUUUGUUGUUCUAAGAAACAGGCUUCUCAAGUCAUGGCUCCCAUUUUCUUUCCUAACUUUUUUUUCCUUUUUCUAUUUACUAUUUUUCAAUCUAAGCAGAGACAAGAUACUUCAACAUUUUUCAUAUACAUUUACCUCUGGUAUCUUCCGUCAAGUAUUGCCUGAGGAACAUCUACCUUCUACAUGACAAUUUAAGAAAAGAUCAUUCAGGACAAAAGAAAAGCGGAAUGAGCAACACAGGGAGAGAAAGCAAGAGACUGACCUGACAUUCUCCUCCUGUUAAGACUCUCCCCCCACCAAAAUAAAACCCCUUCUGAAUGAAGAAGUGAAUCAGAAACCUGCCUAAAGCUGUGAAUGACAGGACAACAAAAUGAAUGCAGAAACAUUUCGGAAGUCUACUCAUUCUCUCUGAGUUUUCAGGUUUACAGUCCAACUGCUGGGUCCCAUUGGGAAGCUGGUGUCUCCCUUUUCCUUCUGGCCUAAGAAGUAAAGUUUUGAAUCUGAUCUGAAUCCAGGACUCGGCUUUACCACAAAUCAUAAGAACAUAAGAUGUGCCAUACAGGGUCAGACUAAUGCUCCAUAUAGUCCAGUAUCUUGUCAGCAAACAGUGGCAGAAGUGAGUGCUUUAGAGGAAGAGCAUUGAACUGGACAGAUCUAGAGCAGGGGUGAGUAAAAUUUGACCAAUGAGCCAAAUCCAGCCUCCAACUGAUUAGAUCUGGCUUGCGGGUGGGCACCU
rnacentral:lncRNA from 1 species